rnacentral:lncRNA from 1 species
CAAAAAUUCAUUUCCCUUUCUUUUGAAAUGAUGCCCUGAACUUAUAUUGGAAAAGCUACUCCUUCACUAUUGGCAGCCAUAGAACUGCCGAUCAAGAUGUCCCCAUUUCUCCUAGCCAAGGGAUAGACAUGUGACCCAAGUGAUACCAUCAGAUGCUUUUCUCUCCUUGAAAUUUGGAGCUCAUGUGAAAUGCAGAAAAAGAUGGAGAAAGCAGUUUGUGAUGAUUAAUCCCAGCUGGCCGUGACUGUCCAUUAGUUUCUCCUCUCCCCAGAGAUACUUUGGCUCAUGACUUCUUCAGGACUGAUCCUAAGACUGUGUAAAGGUGUCCUAUAUUCUCCAAUCCUCUUAUGCAUUCCUAUGUGCUUGAUAGGCCGAGCUGAUUUCUGUUUCUUGCACCUAAGGAAUCCUAACUGAUACAAGUUCUACCCAUGAUUGCACAUUUAGUCUCCUAAAGCCCCCAGGGACAAAACAAGAAGUCAGAUCACACUGCUGGAGAGACCACAUGGAGAAUAUUGAGAAUAUGUGGAGAGAGACAGAAGAAUCUAGCUGAGCCCAGCCUUCCAAUUGUCCACAGCAAGACAUAAUGAAUGGAAGUAAAACCACCUUGGAUCAGGUGAAAACUACAUCUAGCUAAUCAGCUGACCAUGAGAUGCAGAGAUUAUCUGGAAUUAUCCAGAUUGGUCCAUUUAAUUACAUGAGUCCUUAAAAGUGGAAAGUGGAAGAAGAGGCAGAAGAGUGUGUCAGAGAGAUGCUGUGUGAAAAGGACUCAACCUGCCACUUGAGGCUUUGAGGCUGGAGAAAGGGGCC